rnacentral:rRNA from 1 species
GACGAAGGGGGCUAGCGUUGUUCGGAAUUACUGGGCGUAAAGCGAGUGUAGGCGGUUGUUCAAGUCAGAGGUGAAAGCCCGGGGCUCAACCCCGGAACUGCCUUUGAAACUAGGUUGCUAGAAUCCUGGAGAGGUGAGUGGAAUUCCGAGUGUAGAGGUGAAAUUCGUAGAUAUUCGGAAGAACACCAGUGGCGAAGGCGACUCACUGGACAGGUAUUGACGCUGAGGUGCGAAAGCGUGGGGAGCAAACAGG